rnacentral:sRNA from 1 species
GUGUUACUACAUGCAAUGUAAUCGUAUCUAUUCUUUUUUAAAGACUUUAUGAUCCAUUUGCCGUGGGUCCCACCAGCUAUGUAGGAAUAUCCUAU